rnacentral:rRNA from 1 species
CGGAUCAGCAUGCCGCGGUGAAUACGUUCCCGGGCCUCGUACACACCGCCCGUCACACCAUGGGAGUCGGUAACACCCGAAGCCGAUAGUCUAACGAAAGAGGACGUCGUCGAAGGUGGGAUUGAUGACUGGGGUGAAGUCGUAACAAGGUACC